UCAAUCCCAGGACCCUGGAAUCAUGACCUGAGUCAAAGGCUGAUACUAAACUGCUGAGCCACCCAGGCAUCUCCAAGACCCAGUUUUUUUUUUUUUUUUUUUUUUUUAAGACCCAGUUUUAAUAUGGCGUCAUUCAUCCAUUGCAUCACCUAUGGAGUGUCCACCGUGCUUCUUCCUGGCUUGCCGUCCCACCUGCCCUUCAGCUUGUAAACCCAUCUGCUCUGAGAGGGUUGCCUGGACAGUUUGAAUGGACUCCUGGGUUCCAGAGUCAGCAUAUUUGUAUUUGAAUCCCAGUUUGCAUGACCUUAGGUGAGGAAACGUCACUUUCCCCAGAAAACAAGACAUGGUGAAGCUGCAGUUCUCCAGCUCUGACUCCAUCAUGUUCUACAGCCUCUUGAGGGCAGUCCUGUCUCUCUCCAUACUGGAUGUACCCCUCAGGACUCUUUCAGUUGAAGAAGCCUCCAGAAUGCCAGAGUAAUUCAUUUGUUCCCUGUGAGGUAGGCGAGGCAGAGGUGCUCCAGGGUGAAGACCUGAGAUGGCAGAGAAGUGACUCUCCCGAGGCCACGGUUUGUAAACGGAGGAGCCUAGACGAGACCCCAGGGCUCCCCUCCUCUCCGUUCCUCGUCUGGGGGGGGGGGGGGGGGGGGGCGAGGAAGGCAGCUCAGCCUUAGCUGGGGGUGGGCGUGGGGGCCUGAUGGGCGCUUCUGCGAACGCCAGGGACAGGAUGGUGAGUGGGCUGGGGACGGACUGAAGGAGGGAAGAAGGAACAGGGUAUUUUUGCAUUUUGAC
rnacentral:lncRNA from 1 species